GACGAACGCUGGCGGCGUGCUUAACACAUGCAAGUCGAACGGAAAGGCCUUGCUUUUGUGGGGUGCUCGAGUGGCGAACGGGUGAGUAACACGUGAGUAACCUGCCCUGGACUUUGGGAUAACUUCAGGAAACUGGGGCUAAUACCGGAUAGGAGCUCCUGCUGCAUGGGGGGGGUUGGAAAGUUUCGGCGGUUGGGGAUGGACUCGCGGGUUAUCAGCUUGUUGGUGGGGUAGUGGCUUACCAAGGCUUUGACGGGUAGCCGGCCUGAGAGGGUGACAGGCCACAUUGGGACUGAGAUACGGCCCAGAGUCCUACGGGAGGCAGCAGUGGGGAAUAUUGCACAAUGGGCGGAAGCCUGAUGCAGCAACGCCGCGUGCGGGAUGACGGCCUUCGGGUUGUAAACCGCUUUCGCCUGUGACGAAGCGUGAGUGACGGUAAUGGGUAAAGAAGCACCGGCUAACUACGUG
rnacentral:rRNA from 1 species